GCAUAAUGCAUAAAAACAUAUGUAAAAGAAAUUUUAUCAUCGUUGUAGUUCCAGUUAAAUAACAGGAGCUCAAAAACUAAAUAUAUCUUCUAUAGUUGAUGCAAAGGAACUUUCAUCCAUUCAAAUGUCUUCCCUGCAUAAGAGUUGUGCAAAUCAAAGUUUUGACCAAAAACUUGAAGCAAAUCUUAAUUGUUAACAAUAUAAACUUAUUUUUUUAAUAUUGUGUUCACAUUACUCAAAUCAAAUACUACUAUAGAGAACCUAGUGGCGACUUGUUUAUGAAGCUAUUAGAACUGAAAAUGUUAUAACAACGAAAAAACAGAGAAUAUAAUUUACACUUGAUUCUCUUAUGUCGAGACUUCAUGAAAUCACUUUUCAUAAUAGAAAGGAUUUUCAUUUUUCAAAAAAUAGAAAAUGUGGAGUACAUUGGUAAGAAACUUUUGAGUUGAAGGAUUUCAAGGAGAAACGACAUCUUCUCCUAAUCAUAAAGCAAGUAUUUUAAGAAUUUGUCAAACCUUUGAAAUAUCUCUCAAAAAAUCUUCCUACUACCUGGAGAUAGGAGUUGAUUUCCUCCUUUAUGGUGUCUUGCACUUCGAUCAUUUUGUAAGUAAUAUCCUUAUUUGUCAGAUUUAAUUAGUAAAUGCUUUUGUGUCUGCGGUAUGUCACUUUACCUCUUAACCUACAAUCUCUGUUUCGGCAAUACACCAUCUACGAUAAAUUUCACUGUUAGUUCUUUUCUUUUAUCAUGAGACCAAUUAUAUAUAGUCACUUGUCUUACCUUGUCCUCUGUCAAUAAUAUUAGGACUUCGAGAGACAAAGGUGAAAUUAAAAGAAGGAACUUCUUUUAGGAAUAAAAUGGCAUUAAAAUCUCUAUAUUCCUUUUCUUAAUUAUUAUCAAAUCAAAUAGCUUACUACUUUUUGAACUUGGGGAACAUUAUAAAGACAUGAAAUAACAUACAAGACAUGAAAAUGACACCAUUGUAAGAGCUAAUGUUCACUGGUUCUAACAGAUACUUUAACAUUUCAUGAGUUCCCAUUAAAUAUAGAGGCAACUAAUAUAUUAUAAAGAGAUGCGGCAGAACACCAUCAAAACCAGAUCAUUCUUUAGCCACUACAUAACAUUGGCAUAUUCAUAGACAGCAGAAAAUAUAACCACUUAGAUAAUUUCAUUUGCGUGCUAAAAACAACUUACCAUUAAACUCUCCGCAAAGCUUGUCCUAUUGGUACCCUUUAGCCAAAAUCGCUUCCCCUUAUUCUUCAUUUUUCCUCGGACAAUGAAUCUAUUUAGUCAUGGCACAAAAACAAUAUGAAUUAUUUUUCUUGUAAGAAUUAACUAAAUUAACAUAAGGGAACCAUGAAUGAAGUUGAAAGGCACAUAAAAUUGAGAUUUUUUUGCUAAGUCUCAACAAUAAUGCAAAGAUAUUCUGACUUUCUAACUAUUGCACUUCUUCAAAUAGCUGGUGUGUGUUAAAAAUAUAAACAUAAGAUAAAUGUAAAGAAUCAUAACCAUAAUACAAAAUACAGAAAAUAUAUAGUUUAUACAUAAUUCUAUCAUUGUGACACUCCUAUUAUGUGUUAUCAUGUUAUGUGAUGCUCUUCUUUUAAGACAAAAUUUCAACAUUUUGCUUGUUCACAUGAUAAGUCAAAUGUAAUAGUGAGAUGAUUAAAGAAAGUAAGCUCACGAAAUAUCAUGUCUUCACAUAUAGGCUCUUUCUUAUAUAUUAUUUUUACAUCUUCCGCUACCUACUCCAUGUAAACAUAGUAAGAUGACAUUAGAUGCACUCACGAAAAAUGGUUAAUAGGACAGAAGGUGUGAUAGAUAAACUUUAGGGUAGAACUUCCUAUUACCACAGAAUACCAGCAAUCCAUUCCUAUGAUCUCACACAACAACUUUAGAAUGCCUAAUUUAAAAAAUAAAUAAAAGAAUAAUUUGUACUUGAUGCAUAUCGUCAAAAACUUUGC
rnacentral:lncRNA from 1 species